rnacentral:lncRNA from 1 species
CUAUCUUGUCGGCAAACUGUGAACAUCAGGAUGAAACAUCUGUUUGCUGUAGUGUUGGUCGCAUUGGUGUUGGCUGUUGCACAGGCCACCUAUCAGCAUGGAAAGGGUUAUCAUGGUUAUAAAAAAUAUGACUACCCAGGCCAGAAGUAUGACAGAUAUGAUUACCCCAACGAAGGGUAUUACCAUGGCAGAUAUGACUUCCCCCACCAGAAGAAUGGCCACGGUUACAACAGAUAUGAUUAUCUCUACCAGAAGUACUACUAGUGUUCUUCACUGAGGGAAUGUUCACGCUGAAGAAUAUCAGAUGGAACAAUAAAUCACCAUAGCAUUUA